GACGAACACAAGAGUCCCAUCCCAUCCCAUCCCAUAGAAACUGUGAUGUGAUCCUGCUCUCCCCUUCGUUACACGCAACGCAUACGCAUGGCAUAUGCUCCCACAGAUUCGCUUCUCCCGGGCCUUCCCUCCUGUUCUGCUGCUGCUCGAAUGCUCCAACUAACACCCACCUCCCUCCCUAUAUUAAGCUGCCCGUCGCUAAUGAUUCAGCCUCCUCUUAUUCUCAUUCGAUUACACACACACACGGAGAGAUCAAAUUGAUACACUGCGAUCUCGAUCAAACAAAUCAAAAAAAAAAAAAAUCUUGCGAGACAUUACUGACCGAUGAAGUUCGGCAAGCGCCUCAAGAAGCAGAUCGAGGAGAGCCUGCCGGAGUGGCGGAGCCAGUUCCUCAACUACAAGGAGCUGAAGCGGCGCGUGAAUGCCGUGUCCUCCCGCGGGUCGGCGGCGGAUCCGUCGUCGUCCAGCGCCGCGGAGGCCGACUUCCUGACGCUCCUGGACGCCGAGAUCGACAAGUUCAACGCCUUCUUCCUGGAGCGGGAGGAGGAGUUCGUGAUCCGGCAGAGGGAGCUCCAGGAGCGCAUCGGGCGUGCGGGCGGGCCCGAGGCCACGCUGGCGCGCGUCCGGCGCGAGGUGGUGGACUUGCACGGCGAGAUGGUGCUGCUGCUCAACUACAGCAGCGUCAACUACACGGGCCUCGCCAAGAUCCUCAAGAAGUUCGACAAGCGCACCGGCGGCGUGCUCCGCCUCCCCGUCAUCGCGCGGGUGCUGCGGCAGCCCUUCUUCACCACCGACCUCAUCUCCGAGCUGGUCAGGGACUGCGAGGCCGCGAUGGAGGCCGUCUUCCCGCCCGCCGCCAGCAGGGACCUCCACGGGCGCCAGGCGCUGGCCGUCGCCGGGCAGGGCAUCUUCCGCAACACCGUCGCCGCGCUGCUCACCAUGCAGGAGGUGCGCAGCGGGAGCUCCACCGUCGGCCAUUUCUCGCUGCCGCCCAUGCAGCCGCUGCCGGAGUCGGACUGGCUCGUCCAGUCCGUUGACAGCACGCCGACGGCGUCGCCCCUCAUCCCCACGCAGUGACUGACGACACCAUGGUCCACUUCCAGUUCCAUGAUCCAUGGCACUACAGUGCUACAGCACAGCGGGGCGUAUUAUAUAGUAUGCAAUAUAUAUACGAGAAGGCACAAUAAUCUACAUACUGUAGUGGUGCUCUGUAUGCGGCUGAUGUGUACAGUAGUAGUAUUUUUUUUUCUCCUUUUGUUGAUGAGGUGUUCUUUUCUGCUCCCUUUCUUAUUUUACCAUCUUUUACCGAAGAAGAAGAAUAAUAAUAAUAAUAAUAAUAAUAAUAAUAAUAAUAAUAAUAAUAAUAAUAAUAAUAAUAAUAAUAAUAAUAAUAAUAAUAAUUAGUACUACUAGGACUAGUAGGAGUAAAGAAUGUUGUAACAAGGAAGAUCAAUAGGCUUUGUUCUUGCAGUGUAAUUUUAUUUACCGGCAAAUUGAGACGUACACUGCUUCGAAUUCUCUGUAUAUGAUCGUUUGCAUUUUUCUUCUUCAAUCAGCAGUCGGCUCCCU
rnacentral:misc_RNA from 1 species